GCUGCUCUAAUUCACACCUUCAGUACAACUUCUGUAUGCCCUCGUGUUCACGAAUCUUGUAGUACUUUUUUCCAUAAAAAUCUUGUAGUACUAUGUAAAGCAAGCGUGGACAACACAUAGUUUAGGUGUCGCGGUAGUACUCACUGUUGAUGGUGGCCUUCUUUUGCGCCGCUACUACUUUGCCACCUAGAGUGGUACUGCUACUACUUAUCAUGUUGAUAAAACCUCGCGAACAGUACAUCUAUUUGAUUAACGAUUCUGUAGGGAGAAAAAGUUCACCAAUGUACAAUCUCUAAUCUCAAUAUACCAAAACUUUUUGUUUAGUAGUUGGUACUGCUCAAGUUUAUUUCUUGAUGUACACAUGAUGUCCAAAUUCUUCUUUCAAUUCGGUUCAAUUUAUAAAUUUCAUUCAGUUCAGCGAGGUGGAGAUUGGGGCACGGUGGAGUGUGACCGUGUGUGUGCAUACGGCCCACCGCAACGUCACCGGCCGGAUCCCGCUCUUCAGUGUAUGUUUUGUAUGCUUUUCAGUUCACCUACUUAACAAUUGCAAGUCCAAUUUCCUCCUUGUUUCCAUGUUAUUCCUCUAGCACAACAGGUGUUAUGCCUCUAUGUAUCAAAAGAAACCUAUGUUCUUUUCUAUUCUUGCAAAUGAAGCUGCACUUCUGUUCUGUUUGAACUUACUUGGCAUAAAAAUUAGUAUUUGUUCUACUGUAAAAAAACAUAAAAUGAAAUGUCUUGGUGCAUGAUCGAAGGUGCAUCUGGAAGCAUCCCCAUGUCAAUUGCAAAGGUUUCCAGGAUGUGGCGUCCGUACUAGUAGUCCAACCCGGCCGCCCCAGGCCGUUCACCGUCGCAGCUCCCAGGCCGAUUGUGUCGAGCCUUGUGCCACUUCCUGUGGAGCUCCAUCGUUGUACUGCCCAUACCUUUCUUGGCCGCCACACCGGGUCGUUCAGCGACACAACCUGAAGCAAUUUGACGCUGCGGCUCGGGAGGCACACACUUCGCUCGUUCAUCCCAGGAGAGCAGUACACCACCUUGUGCGAGCAGACCGUUGCCGAUGUACACUGAUUCUCUAAGCUCCCUUGCCACUGCUCCAGUAUGUCCAGCGCCGUCCCCAGUCCAGCCACGUGGCAUCCGGACGGUCAAAUUCAUGCCGAGCAGCAGUCCACGUCUGUCAGCUCCUAUUUCCACUAUAGUGAUUGGGUUGCCGUUUUCCUCACCCUUCCCGAUGCGCGACAACCCAGCCCACAUGUUGCUGCCGUCCGCCACCCCAAAAUAGUUUUGGCUCUUCCUCAAGCAGCCAUUUAACCUUUUGGUGUUUUUUCUGUUGGUGAUUGAUUUUAGCAAUUUGUAGCUAUCUUGCAUGGAACCUGAAAGUCUAAGACUGUUGUAGAUUCAGUUCUUGUAGCACAAAUGUCCCAGAGUUCAGUGACAUCUCUAAUUGAUGUACUGUGGUCUUGCAUCUCCAAUGUAUGUUGCUCAGCUUCCUCCCGAUCCGCUUGAUCUCGUCUUGCUCCGAAGCAUGCUUCAGUUCAACAAAAAGCUCCAGAAAAGUUCAGAGUUCAGCGUACUUUGCAUUUAUGGUUGGCUCUUUUUUAUUCGUCUGUUUGGGUUAAGGCAGAGAGAGGGAGCAGAAGGUCAUCACGAAAAAAUGUCUCUCCUAGAUCCGAGCUGGCGACCUGCGCCUCUACUAAUUAGGACGAUGUGCACCUUUCCAUGGUCUAAUGUAUUCCUUCUUGUUAGUUCUCCAAUUAAGUUUGCCCAAACUUCAGGAUAAACAGUUUGCUCAUUUAUUUUUCUUUUGUGUUUUGCAUUCAUUCUAUGACAGAGGGUGAUUGGAUAUAUUUGUGUGUGCUACAUGUGUAAAACCUCUAGUGAUUAAUUAGUUGUCUGGAGCCUGGAGGAAUUCUAAAACAUAUAUGUUCUGGUUAUGAUUUGAUGCCCUCUACAUCUUUUAUGUUAUUUACAUGGGUAUUGAAACUAUUUGCGUUCAGGUACAGCAAGAAGUUCAUGUAUUGAUGCCCCUGGAGUCCAUGUAGCUCUGCUGCCGUGCUACCCUUAUCGGCCUCGGCUAUGUACGUCAGUCCAAUACCGUCGCCCCAGGCCGUUCACUGUCGUAGUGACCAGGCCGUUCAUAGAAAAAUGUUGAUUAUAUUGAUACCAAAUACUAGUCUUUGCUCACUUUUGAAUUGAAAAAGAAAAAGGAGUCUCUAAUAAUAAGUUCAUACAAAAACAGAAACAAAAAUAAACAAAAACAUGAAACACAAAAAACCCAUGAAAUUUGCAGGGAAAACAUAACAAGUUCUAAGAAAAUAACUAUAGAAGUUCAUAUUUCGAAACGGAUGAAGUAUUUGGGAACUAAAUGAAGUAUUUCAAAGUACAGAACUUCUGUUUAGGUUUGUUUGUGUACUUCUAAUGUUACUGUGCAUGAACUUGUCGUUAUUUUUACAUGUUACAUGAUUACGGUCAUUUCGACCUUGACAAAUUUCAUUUCACAUUAUAUGGUUUUUUCCGUCCAUCUUACAGGUCGAAGGAGCUCCCUUCUGUUCAGUGGAUUCAACAAAAAAAAGUCCCUGCUGCCACUGCAUCCUGAGUUCAAGGGAUUCCUUAGGGGCCUUCUACACCAUCUUGCUAAUGAUGCCAUCGCUGGAUGCCACAGCCAUGCUCGUGUUCUUGUACUGCCAUUCACAUACUGCUCCCUGUUUUACUUCAUUGAGAUCCAUAGAAAUAAGUUAUAUUCAGUUCGCCACUUUUACAAUUGAUGGUCUUAUGUUGACCGAAACAAUAGUUCAAGCUCCUAAAAAAGCAAUUAUGUGUAUGCUACAUCACUUUGAGGAACUACAGCAAACAAAAUAAGGAGAGCUUGGUACUACAUGAUUUUUUUAUAGUACUACUUGAAGCCUUUCUGUUGUAUACAUUGUCUCCUAUUUAUUGUAACCUCGUCAGAUUGUUGGAUGCAUGUGGUCCUUCUCUUGUGCAUAUUCAGU
rnacentral:lncRNA from 1 species